rnacentral:rRNA from 1 species
AGAAUGAACGCUGGCGGCAGGCCUAACACAUGCAAGUCGAGCGCCUCGCAAAAGGAGCGGCGGACGGGUGAGUAACGCGUGGGAACAUACCCCUUUCUACGGAAUAGCCUCGGGAAACUGAGAGUAAUACCGUAUACGCCCUAAUGGGGAAAGAUUUAUCGGUGAGGGAUUGGCCCGCGUUGGAUUAGGUAGUUGGUGGGGUAAUGGCCUACCAAGCCGACGAUCCAUAGCUGGUUUGAGAGGAUGAUCAGCCACACUGGGACUGAGACACGGCCCAGACUCCUACGGGAGGCAGCAGUGGGGAAUCUUAGACAAUGGGCGCAAGCCUGAUCUAGCCAUGCCGCGUGAUCGAUGAAGGCCUUAGGGUUGUAAAGAUCUUUCGUGGGGGAAGAUAAUGACGGUACCCCAAGAAGAAGCCCCGGCUAACUCCGCGCCAGCAACCGC